rnacentral:lncRNA from 1 species
UUGAACAUAAAACAAAAAAAAGAAAAAAAAACUCUCCUACUUCCUCUCCAUUUGACCGAUCGUCUGUCUCACACCAUUCCACCAUCAUAAUCGGUUUCUGGUGAUGAAAGAAGGCUCCGUUUAAACCCACUUAAAACCAAACCCAAAGGUCUCAGUAUUCAGUCCCAAAAUCCCUUCUUUGCUUCGAUUUCAGCAAAGAAGAAGGGUUCCGAAAACACAAUUAAAAGGUAAUCACCCCCAUUUCCCUUUUUAUUUUCGAAACUUCAAAGCAAAAUAAAAGAAAAGAUAGAAAAGAAGUCGAAAAGGAUAAAAGAUGCAACCUUUUUUAUUGAUCUUUCUUUUGUAUUCAAAAUUCGGAGGGAUUUUUGUGUUUGUCUCUUUUUCAAUAUUGUAAAAUCCCCCUUUUUACAAUAGUUUUCCAUUCGGCUUUAUAGCCCAUUUGUUACAUUGUCUAUUUCCCUUUUUUGUUGCUCUAGCGUGUUCUGUUUGCUAUGCAGGUGGUGGUUGAACGGUGGAGCAGAGGCUGGUAUGGGGGUUGACAGAGAUGAUGGGACAGAGGCAGC